UUUUCAAUAUACAGGCUUUAUUCUACUUGAAUAAGUUAAUUCCUAUGUUUCUGCCUCCCUCCACCCAUUAUUAUUCUUUAGCUUAGGCUGUCCUACUUACUGUAGUCCAGGAUGGCCUCUAAUCCAUGGAAAUCUUCCUGGCUCAGCCUCCUGAGUCCUGAGAGUGCUUCAGCUGGAGCCACUGGGGCCACUUGUGAGACGGCUCAUUCAUAUUGCUGGCAGGACAUACAAGGAACAGCCAACUGAGAACAGCUGGGAAAGGAGGAGCUAUCAGUGUGAGGAAACAGAGGACUGUUUCAGUCAUGUUAAAAGGAGCAGAAAAAGAAGCACAGAGAAGCUCAGUACUGAAGACCCUCUUAGGAUAAGGCAACUUGGCUUUAAUCGUUCAGAAACUGAACAAGCAGGUGGAGUUGCCACAGGAUUUUGCUUUAGAAAUGGGUUCCCUGUGAUGUGUAGAAUGGAC
rnacentral:lncRNA from 1 species